ensembl:misc_RNA
CCAUGGUGGCUUUUUUGGUGGACAGAUGUAUAGGUCGUGCAUUUCUGGACCGGUGGCGUGGUUGGUGACUCAAUACCCUGCCUCCAGGCG